rnacentral:RNase_P_RNA from 2 species
UGAGGAGGCCAGGCGGCCGCCGGCCCUUUCAAGGGGCGGGAGGAAAGUCCGGGCUCCGCAGGGCAGGGUGCCGGGUAAUCCCCGGUGGGGGCGACCCCGAGGACAGUGCCACAGAAAACAUACCGCCUCCCGCGUUCCUCGGGAGGUAAGGGUGAAAAGGUGAGGUAAGAGCUCACCGCGGGCCGGGCAACCGGCACGGCACGGCAAACCCCACCCGGAGCAAGACCGAAUAGGAGGGCGACUCCGCAGGAAACCGCGGGGGAAGGGUGGCCCGCCCGGGGCCCUCGGGUACAGGUCGCUCAAGGCGCGCGGCAACGCGCGUCGUAGAGAAAUGGCCGUCCCGCGGCGGAUUCACCCGCCGCGCACAGAACCCGGCUUACGGCCUCCUCAGGCC